UACGUAGGGGCGAGGCGUGUCCGGAUUUAUUGGGUCGUAAAGCGCACGUAGGCGGAUCUUUAAGUCAGGGGUGAAAUCCCAAGGCUCAACCUUGGAACUGCCUUUGAUACUGGGGAUCUCGAGUCCGGAAGAGGUUGGUGGAACUGCGAGUGUAGAGGUGAAAUUCGUAGAUAUUCGCAAGAACACCAGUGGCGAAGGCGGCUCACUGGCCCGGUACUGACGCUGAGGUGCGAAAGCGUGGGGAGCCAAACAGGGAUUAAGAAACCCGGGGUA
rnacentral:rRNA from 1 species